GCUUUGAAUUUGUGUCCCACCCCUGUGAUUGGAGCUCAAUAUCAGAGCGUCUGUCAGUCCGACUGUAAAUCCAACAUCACUGUCCUUCAGUUUCACUCAUUCCCAGUAAAGAUGAGGACACACGCUCUGAUCAUCUGCUCUCUGCUGCUGCUGCUCAACGAGUGUAGAGGACAGAUCACCGUCACUCAGAGUCCCUCAAUGACAGCAGCUCAACCAGGACAAACUGUGAACAUCAACUGUAAAACCAGCACAGAUGUGCGCAAUGGAGAUAAUUUACACUGGUACUUACAGAAACCUGGAGAAGCUCCUAAACUCCUGAUUUAUUGGGCCAACCGCCGUCAGUCAGGAACUCCAUCUAGAUUCAGUGGCAGUGGAUCUAACAGUGAUUUCACUCUGACCAUCAGUGGAGUCCAGACUGAAGAUGCUGGACAUUAUUACUGUAUGAGUCGCCACUGCAUAACUAAUUGGCUUGGUGUUUGUAAUGUUGAUUAUCAUCAAUUAGUCAGAUGUCACACACAGUAAUGGAGGAAAAAUCACAAUCAUUUCAUCUUUAUAGAAAUUCCACAUCACUGCUUUCUUUCAUAAACCACAUAGUAAUGAUCCUGCAUUUAAAUUUCAAUAUUCU